CAGAGCCAGGUUGGUAGCUGAUGCGCCACACAGCAAUUCGCUGCCAUGAUUUGUGUGCCCUGAAUACAGUCGCAUGCAAGAAAAAAAAGAAAAACAAACAGGAAAAAUGAAUAGCUUUAAAGAAAAGAAAGUGUCAUUUCUUUAGGUAAUUAAUUACUAAUUAUACAAUUGCAGCAUUGUCUGUAUCAUUAAAAUUACUUGGGUUUUCAGUACAUUAUAGUUUUAAUUAAACAAAUCCUUGGAUUUUUUUCUCCUCCUUUGUAACACAAAUUCAUUUUUUUUAUUAGUGCCAAAGAAUAAAUUAAUUGUAUAAUUAGUGACUGUUACUUUGUCACUCCUGGAAGGGUUAUUUCCAGGUUGUAUGUAUGCAGUGGCUGGGGAAUGGUUAUGAAAUGCUGUUUGAUACCAAGACUCCCUGGAAGCAGCUGUCUGUGGCUGGGGGUGCUGGUGGAGGUGGGGAUUUGGCAGCACUGGGACACAGCCGGCAAGAAGGGGGUGAAAAACUCUGCCAGGGCUGGCUGGAGGAGGCUGUCAAACACUGGUGGGUAUCCCCUUGCUUACUUACAUGCCUGUGAGUAAAUGUGUUUCAUUUUGAUGCAGAAAUGCCCUCUGGAAGGCAUCCUCAGAUCCUCCAGAGAGGAAGCUGUAGAGAAGCUGUGCCUGCUUCCAUGUGCUCCCCCUGGUACAGGUUCCCUCCCCUCCUAUUCACGGAUCUCCUGCAACACCACUUGCAUUGCUGACACUGGGCACUUUGGAAUUGAACUGGGACCUGAAUUUAUCCUGGGGCUUUUAGUGCUUAGAUCACUUUUGAGUGUGAGAUUCCAAAAUCGCUUGGAAUAUUUGAAAAAUGGUGUCUAUUUUUUUUCUUUCCAUUGGAGUGUGUAUCUGUGGGGUUUUUACUUUUUUUCUUGUCCAUGUUUAAAAUUACUUUUGGCCAUAAUUUCUUUGUGUGAUCUAAGUGUUCUGACAAACUUGACCCUAUGCUGCAAAGCAGUUCUGCAUGGAUGAACCAGGUAGGUCAAGCAAUCUUCCUCUCUGGUUCCUUCCCCUGAAGUUAAAAAUGACCCUGCAACCACAAACCUAGUGCGUAGAACCCAGUGCACUCAAGAGACCCUACAAAAACAAACCAGUGUGUGCACAGCCCACUGCUGAUGAGUGCUGACAUGGUUUCAAAUGUAUUGAUGCUCCUGCUGAUGUGUCCUUUCUGAGGGCAUCAGCAUCAGCAGUCCUUUUAGCUGUGAAAUGAGGAGGAUGACUCAUGAACCAUACAGACGCAAGCGGUGUCAGUACCUUGAUGGUCCAUCAGGUUUCUAACCUGCGUCAGCAGAAUCAGGGUUGAAGAAGGAAACGAGAAUGACAACCCAACCUGGAUUUGAGGGGGAGAAGAUAGUAGAAACAUGGACUUUUGACAUGCUUUCUGAUGGACUCUAACUUUUUCAUCUGCUGAUAGCCUGAGAGCUUCUUCCCUGCCUCCCUCUGCAGAGGCUUUUGGAGGACUGAUUCUUGUGAGCAGGCACCUCUGUCCUCCUGAGUUUGCUACAAAUAUUGUGUCUGCUGGUGCAAGAAACCCUCCUUAGGUCAAAGCUACAGGCAGGCCAGAAGUGCUUAACAGUCCUGAAGCCAAGAAAGCAGGUGAGAAUCUGGUAAAAGCAAACCUAAGAUGCUGUGAAACCAGUUGCGAUAAUUAAUGGCUCUUUUUAUCUGAAGAUGCUUAGAAACUGACAUUUUCUGAAGAAAUGAGAGUGAGGUCUUUGUAAUAAACUAGGAAGAGUUUUUGUUUUUUGUUUUUUUUAAAAGAAGAUGUUUCAGCCAAUACAAGCAAUUACACAUUCCUAGGUGUCUCUCCCUGCUUGCAAUCUGUAACAGAAGAAAAACCCCUGAGAGACAAGUAGCCUAAUUUGGGUCAAGGGACAACCAGGCUGGACCAUCACCUGCAGCUCAGGUGUAGCCUUCAUGGAGUGCUGAAUGGGGGUGAUGAACCAGCCCUGUUCCCACCGCAGGGUGCUGCCCCAUGUGUACCUUGACAGCUCUCUGAGCGUCUCACCUCUGCAGGGACAGGAGACAUUGAGAUGCCAAGAGACAAUCUCAGCUACCACCUCUGCCAGCAGCCCGGUGUGUACCUCUGCUCAGCCUGGCAGCAGCUCCCUCGCUGGCAAGCGGAGCAGUCAGCAUCGACAGCCUCAGCCACCCACCUACAUACCUGCAUCCUUCCAGCCUCCCCCCCUCCCUCCAUCACCACCCAAAGUGGUGGAAGCAGCCUGGAAAACUGGUGGGACAUAUCUCCCCCAGAUGCUCCGAGGUCAACAGCGCUAGCCCAAGAGCAAAUCUGAUAUCGCAAGCGAGACCUCUCCCAGCGGGCAAGCGAGUAAUGAACUGGAGCUGGGCUGUAAUGAUUUAAAAAAAAUAAAAGUUUUUUAAGGCUGGCUGUCAAUGCCCCAGCUAGAUCUUAAAAAAGGGUUUAUUGUUCCUAGAGCAGAAAUACAAGAGAGCACUCUGCAUCUAUUUACGAUGCAGAAGGGUCAAAAAUGGCUCUUCUCCCUCGUGGGUCCUUGCAGCUUCUCUAGCAGAAUGAAAAGACACACGCAGAGCUUCAGCACCAGGGUGAAGAAGAGAAGAGCCCUCUGUUUCAACCCACCUGCUCUGUGAUGGUGACUUGCCCCGAAGAGUCUCAGGAAAAUCCUGUGUAAAUGGAACAUAAAUGUUUUAUGAAUUCAGCCCUGGUGGAGUAAAUUAAAGGGUCAUUAAUGGCCUCAUUAAAGAGCUUUGCACUUUGUUCUGAAUUAUGAAAGCUAUCAUGCAAUGUUAAACUAAAUGGAGUUUUCGGUGAGAUUUUAAAACUCUUUAACUAGUUAGUUCUCCCCCUCUGUCUCUAUUCUUUUCUCCCCCCCCUCCCUUUUUUUUU